GCCAGGUGCAGUGGUGCACGCUUGUAAUCCCAGCAGCUGGGAGGCAGAGGCAGGAGGAUUGCAAGUUCAAAGCCAGCCUCAA
rnacentral:sRNA from 1 species